rnacentral:rRNA from 1 species
UCAACAUGUUUUUUUAUUUUUUUUUUUAAGAUUGGCCCUGCUCAAUGAUGAAUUAAAUAGCCGCGGUAAUUUAACUGUGCUAAGGUAGCAUAAUAAUUAGUCUUUUAAUUGAGGUCUGGAAUGAAUGGGUUGACAAGGAGAUAACUUUAUUUUAUUAAAUUUUUUGAAUUUAAUUUUUUUGUUAAAAAGCUUAAAUUUUUAAAUGGGACGAUAAGACCCUAUAGAUCUUUAUUUUUAUUUUUUUUUAAAUUUUUUAUUGAAUUUAUUUUUUAAUUUAAAUUAAAAAUUUAGUUGGGGUGAUUGAUAAAAUUUUUAACUUUAUUUUUUUUUUACUUUAAUUUUUGUGUUUUUUGAUCCUUUAUUUUGGAUUAUAAGAUUAAAAUACCUUAGGGAUAACAGCGUUAUAUAUUUGGAGAGUUCAAAUUGAUAAAUAUGUUUGCGACCUCGAUGUUGGAUUAAAAUUAAUUGUGGGGUAGGUUUUACAAUGUUAGGUCUGUUCAACCUUUAAAAUUUUACAUGACUAUUU